GACGAACGCUGGCGGCGUGCCUAAUACAUGCAAGUAGAACGCUGAAGGAGGAGCUUGCUUCUCUGGAUGAGUUGCGAACGGGUGAGUAACGCGUAGGUAACCUGCCUGGUAGCGGGGGAUAACUAUUGAAAACGAUAGCUAAUACCGCAUAAGAGUAGAUGUUGCAUGACAUUUGCUUAAAAGGUGCAAUUGCAUCACUACCAGAUGGACCUGCGUUGUAUUAGCUAGUUGGUGGGGUAACGGCUCACCAAGGCGACGAUACAUAGCCGACCUGAGAGGGUGAUCGGCCACACUGGGACUGAGACACGGCCCAGACUCCUACGGGAGGCAGCAGUAGGGAAUCUUCGGCAAUGGACGGAAGUCUGACCGAGCAACGCCGCGUGAGUGAAGAAGGUUUUCGGAUCGUAAAGCUCUGUUGUAAGAGAAGAACGAGUGUGAGAGUGGAAAGUUCACACUGUGACGGUAGCUUACCAGAAAGGGACGGCUAACUACGUG
rnacentral:rRNA from 1 species